AGCCAGUGUGGCAUAGUGGUUUGAGUGUUGGACUACAACUCUGGAGGCCAGGGUUCGAAUCCCUGCUCGGCUA